UUAAUAUCCUCUGUAUCACCUUUUGGAAAUUUCCCCCAUUGAAACGUAAAACCCCACAAAAACCCUUGAGAAUCCCCUUUUUUCUCCAAAAUCCCAACCUAACAUUGAACUCUUGCUUUGUCUUGUCCAAAAUGGCGUUUCGCUUUAGAUCUGUCUCAAAACCAACAUUCUCUAUCCUCAAAUCUACCAUUAACAAGCCAACCCUUAAGCCCAACUCCGCCGCUACUUUCUUUCCCGCUCGCUCUUCUCCCACACUUUCAAGGUCGGUUUCUCAAUUGGGUUGUCUUCAAUCUCUGCUGCCUCUCCACUCAGCGGUGUCCUCAGCUCGGCUGACGUCGUGUCUGGGAAUCGAUUCAAGGAGCUCGAGGUCUUUGUCUCAGGGUAUGCUUUGCAGUGCAAAUCCAGGGGUUUGAUAAUCUCCAAAACGUUUGGGUAGAUACAAACAAAGACACAACCUGAGUUGGAGAGCUUGCACAUGGUUUGAGAAGAACUCGGUCUUGGUGUGCCUCGAUAACAUAUCAAAAGUGGAAGGAAGUGAGGCAUGAUGGAUUAGGUCAUUGCUUUCCUUCUUGUGUGUCCAUUGGGAGAUUUAGUUUAUUUGACAAGUAUGUCCUUUUCGUUAUUGUUUGAAGUAAAUUUUGAAAGUCCUGGAUAAUGGACACAACAGACACUGCAAGAAUUCUAUUCCCUGAUUCUCCCAAUUAUGGAAAUUUUCUCUCUAGAUUUCAAUCUUCUUCCAAGGAUUCUUUGAUCUUGUUACUUUAAAGAAUAAAAUCGCUUUGCCAUUUAUUCAACUUCUUUCUUGGUUUAAAGUUAUGGUGGAUUUAAUGAAUUUAUUGAUUCCAAUCACUUAACCGUGUCGUUUUGUUUAAAUAAAUUCAUAUUGGGGUAAUGAAAAAUGAAAGCAAUGAAUGGGUGCAUGAUUUCAUUUUCUGUUCUUAUCCUAUUCUGCUGGUAAAAGAUUCCUGAUUGCCUUUAAGUUCAUUUUCAGUCCUUAGCAUCAUGUGUAAAUCCCUGAUAGGAGAUACAAACUUCGAUCCUACCUGAAAGGGUAAGUCUUCCCCUUUCUGGGUUUGAUGUAAAUCCUUGUUCACUUUUCUUAAGUAGGUAAGAUUUAGAAGGAACUUUAAGUUCGAAAGAAAGCCAUGUUCUUUUGAUUACUUUAUUUGUCUUCCUAAUCAACAAGAAGUGCACGUGAGAAACUAGAUAGGGAUGAGAUGGUGUCCCCGUGUCUCCCAUUUCUUUGAAAGUUGCCUUGGCUAUGGCGCCAUGUCUCCACCCCUAAGUCAGAACAUUAGCAUGUGGGGGCUCUCCCUUUCGAUCUCCCAAAGACCUUAGCAUUGUACUUUUUUUUUCUUUUUGUUGCUAUUUCCGCAUGUAGACGUAUUUGUAAAAACGACCAUGUGCUUUCAUCCAUGCACGUUCAAACCCAGUACAGUAGCCAUCACAGAGGAAGAAAUUGGAUAAUGUUUUGCAUGUUGCAUGGUCGAACCGUCCCCCUCUCUGAUUAUCCUUUUUCUUUCCUGCCUGGUUCCAAACAAUCGACAAGAAAUGAAAGCCAGCUGAAUUCACUGUGGUCAGUAAAGAAAUCCCCACUCUCAGCUCCUCAAAAUCUUCCUCCAUGUGGCCCUGAUCAUGUUCGAUCCCUUGGAGUAAGCUUUUAAGGCAAUCAUAGUUUAAGUUAAAAAAUGACAGUUUAUUCGAUAAAGAAAUUAGAUUAAGAUAAAAUCUAGAGACAUCCCUGAUCGUAUGAGAGAUAUUGGGAUCGGAAUUACUGCCAUAAUCUUUUAUCACACUUGAUUUUCUUUAUUUACCACAAAAAGGGCGAUGAACUUGGUUCAAUGGUAGAGUCAUUGGAUCCUCCAUGUCAGUCAGGGCAACAGAGAAAAGUUUAAUAUCUCAAAUGAAGGGGGAGCUGCCAAUUGCCGAGUCAUCGACAGCAGAAGUGGUUGCGAAAAUAGGACCUCUUCUUUACAAAUGAACAUGGAGAAUUAACCGCUAUACAUGAACGCCCAUCAUUCAAAGCCUUCUGGAAUUUUUUAAAGUCAUUAUAAUAUAGGGUCAUUCAUGAGAUUAACUUUAUUGCAUUUUGCAAAGGAAAAAUUCACAAAAAUAGUCACCGAUCAGAACAGACCCUUUUGCAUGCGGAAUAGAAGAGAGAAGCAUGUGACCACCGCUAACUUUGCUUUAUAUAAACAUAUAUAUUGUAAAAGCAUAUAUUAACAACUCUAUUACCAGAAAUUUGUAUUAUUUCGAUUGUUUUAACAAACAAAGACAAACGA